GCUGCGCAUGCGUGAGCUGAGAGAAGGUGAGAAAGGAGAACAACUCUUUUUCCGCAGGAUGUGACGUCACAUUGUUGCUUGUUUUUACUUUUUUGAAAGAGCUACUCUCGAACCUAGACUAGCCAUUGCCGUCGUGUCGGCUGCAAGACUUUCUGCGCGCGCUUUUGUGCAUGUCGAAAGCGUAUAACGUGCGCGAUAUUCGUGCGAGCGCAGUUUGACUUGAGCAAUCGUGGGUUUGGACUCCGUGACAUUUGCUUUCGUCAUAUGCGAGUUAGGGGCUUGCCGACAGGUAAACCGCCGCUGUACUUAGAUGAGUUGAGAUUUACACAUCAAUGCCAGCUCACAAAGCAUCUAAUACGGCAAUCAGCCAGCCACCUCCGCAGAUGGAGAAUUCUGCAGUUUCCAAUCAUACUGUUUCUGUUGUCUUUGGCAGAGAUUUUGAUUGUACACGGCGGGAAUAAACUGUAGGACCAUAAAAAAACUUGUGAUGACAAGGGCCAUAUAUGGUGGAAAUUAUAGUAGAUUAUGACCAGCAUUAGCUCAAGCCCUGCUAAAGGUCUGUGGUAUCUAAAAAAAUAAUAAAGUGCUGGUUUUCAUAUCUAUAGCUGCUGUGUGCAUUAAGCUCAAAACUCCCUUCUUGGCAACAUAACCCAGGAAUGCCCACUCCAAACACUCUUGCACAUGCACUUUCACAGCAUCUGCUUUGAUCUACCUAAUUGCAUAUCAGUAAAGGUGGGUCUAGUUCACUAAAGACUGACAAUGCUGCAUUCGAAUGGAACCAAACCGUUCUCGAAAAGUUCUUGAAACCAGUCAAGCAGGUUUUUGAGAACUUUUAAUCUGGCAAAAUGACAAAAUGAAAGUUAUUUGAAAUAAGUGAUGCAAUGCUGAUGAGGUUUGGGCAUGCAUUUCAAGGUGCUUGGCCUUCAUUAUCUCUAAUCAUAGUGAACCUGCCAAAUUGGCAAGGAUCUUGAAUGAAUUCUUCACUAGGCCCAACUAUUUUGUUGCUGCCCUAUAUUGUGCACUCUUCCUAUAUAGGAAGAGCGCACAACAAAAAUCUUGUGGCUUCCUGUUAUCAUAACACCCUAUAACUUCCUUAGAUGUGGGCCAUUUGAUAUUCACCAAUAAAUACUUCCACAGGAUUUAGAUGAUGCCUUUAAAUAUGUGUCCCUCAUGCUUACAUGUAAAGGAGCACUGACAUUAAACUUUUGGACUGAAUUUUUUUAUAUUAAUCUGGUUCCAAAUGGCAGCUUUUAUGGCCACACCAUGCCACUGAAAGCUGCAUGUGCUUUGAGCGAUUCUUAAUGUGUGCUAAGACUUGCUUCACUAAAUAAAUUUUCUUAUGACUCUUCUCAAACAUCUAAAUUAAAAUUAAUUUACUUCUAGUGUUCUAUAAGUCACAACCACGAUACGAUUACGAGGCAUGCCAUAGUUGCGGACUCCGGCUUAACUUUAAUCGCCUGAGGUUUUUAACAUGCACCCACUCCACAGUGUGCACCAAGACAGAAAGACCAAUGUUGUGCUGCAUAGUGGUCCUAACAUGCUCAGUUUUCAAUGACCUAAUAAUGGCAUGGCUUACUCAUGAACUGCAGCGUGCAUCAUUUGUUUGUGACCUACCAUGCAAUGUUGUCACCAGAUUAUGGGGCCACGCUGCCUUUGGCACAUGUUUAAAUGUUGGCGUUAAGGAUAUAUUUGUGGCGCAUAGAAGGAAUUUGAAGUUUUGUAGUGUAGUUAACUGAAUGACAGCUACACACGCAUAAGAAAAAAAUUGUGCCAGGACUACUUAAACUCUGCAGUGUUUGAGUUUGACCAAUUCUUGCGAUUUUGCACAUUUCGGAUGACUGCAGGUCAUUCAUUACAGUUAUACCAGCUUUUGUACUAUUUAGACAUGCUGUUUGCCCCGGUUUUAUACAGUGAUCAUAGAUAGCCACCACACCAUGUUGGUAGAAGAAUUCAGAAUUUUAGUAAAAUGGGGUUGCUCCAUGUUGAGGUGCACCAGCAUGUCAUAGUAAGUGGAAGCCAGAAGCAGCAGCAUUUUAAGGUAUUGUGCCGCACCAUGUAAAGUGAAAUUAUUGUGCCCCCCUCCACUCUCGCUGGCAAAACCUGCUGGUGAAGCAUUGCGAGCAAGCUUUCGAGGUACGCUGCGCUCUUUCCAAAACAGCGUCCGAGGCAGCCAUCUAUUUUGCCUACAGGACGAGAAGUCCCUGGCCAGGAGUGCAUCGAACAUACGGAAAUAUCUGUCAAUUGUGCUGCUGAACAUCUAGAGAUUUAUAGUUUUGACCUCAGGUUGCAGAACACAGCAAUGCUAUAGCAAACAGUGUAGUGAAAGCUGUUUCACGGCUCUACCACGGCAUAGCCAGCACUGCAUGCAUAUACUAUACACAAGCAUGAGGUUUUAGCAGCAAUACUUAACAGUAAAUUGUAUUUGUACAACUUCACUCUGUCUUUAACACUGCCAGGCUUUAAAAUACAUGAGAAGAGGUCACUGUCUUUCAUUUGAUGUGUUUAUACAAAAAAAGUGUGUGCAUGGAAGGGGUUAAUUAAGGCUCCUUUGUCAAGCCAAAAUGCUUCCUGGCAUGAUAAAGUGAAGCCUUGUGCAUUUCAGUCUGCAGUUGCUCACUGCACUUUCAAAAGCGCAAUCAGCACAGAGAGCACAGGAAAACACACAAGCAAUGGUUCAGCAGUUUAUUUGAAACAAAUGCAACUUUGUUUUACAGAAAGACCACAUUCCAAAAAAGCAACCACAUGCUUUGCAGACAAUACAGCCAACUUAUGUUAAUUGCACAGAUGUUAACAUGCCCUGCCUUUAUAUGUGGAAAUGUUUCAAGUCUCAAAGUGUGCCCCUACUUUGUAGCUUGUCCUUGGAACAAUGGAUGAUUCAAACAAAUGCUAAAUUUAGCACCAUUGCCACACUGAUAGAAGAAAACUACAUAUUAAAAUGGCAACUUCUUGGAGAACAGAAAAGGGUGUAUAGUAAACUUCCAAUAAUCUGACUCCGGUUAAUUUAAUUUUUUCAGUUAAUUCGAUCCUGGCCGACGCCCAUGCAUUUCUAUGGGAUUAAACAUUCAUUAUUUCGAUCCUAAAACUGGCAUUCGCCGGAUAAUGCGAACUUGACCACACCCCAAUAAUGACCCCUUUUAGUGGCAGCCCAUGUCUCAGUAGAGCUUAGGGGACAGUGAAUGCGUUAAACAAAUGCCAUCUCUCUGAAAUGCCUAUUUUUGACCCACCCGUGAAAGAUUUUCAAGCAGUAACGGUAGCUGACGAUGUCCGACUGUGGUACUUAUCUGAUUCUAACGAACACUUUUUGUUUUCAAAGGACAUUGAGACGAAAAUUGCCUAGCUGUGCAAUCGAUUGCGAAACUAAAACCGUGGUUGCACCAUUCAUAUGCUUUACCACAUAUCAUGGCUGUAAUACGGCGAAGCUGGCUUUGGAAAAUCAGCUGGCAUUCUAAAAAAUGAGGUACGCGUAGGUUUCUACUUUGGUUUGGAGUUAAGUCAUUUCUACUUUAGUUUUAUACUGUGGACAAAUAGAAAUUUGAUGCACGUUCGUUUCAGAGGCGUGUUACUCAAGCACAUAUUGCCAAAUGAAUCAACGGUGCAUCAGCAGGUUUUUGCAUCUUAAUUCGACCCGUCAGUCUCGUGAGGGUAGAAUUAAUGGAAGUUGAUUGUAUAAAUUGCGUGAUGAAGCACCAAGAAAGUUACCUUGCUCAGGUAGUGAAAAAGCAUGGAGAAAGUGCUUCACACAACAUCCACCAAUGUUCUGUUGCAGAUGCAAAAGCUGCCUCCCUUAUCUGGAACAGAAUAAAUUCCUUUCGAAGGCAAAAUAAAAAACAGAAAGAGAAGUCAUCAAGGCAUUCCACAUCCAUCUUAUUCAGUCUUUACAGUGUUGCUACAUCACCAUUUGCUUAGCCUCCUAUGCCAAAAAAAAUUGUCGAAAAUAAAAUGACCUGAUUCCCAUGUUUUUCACCACCCAA